UACGGGGGGGGCAAGCGUUGUUCGGAAUUACUGGGCGUAAAGGGCUCGUAGGCGGCCAACUAAGUCGGAUGUGAAAUCCCCAAGCUUAACUUGGGAACUGCAUCCGAUACUGGAUGGCUUGAAUUCGGGAGAGGGAUGCAGAAUUCCAGGUGUAGCGGUGAAAUGCGUAGAUAUCUGGAGGAAUACCGGUGGCGAAGGCGGCAUCCUGGACCGACAUUGACGCUGAGGAGCGAAAGCUAGGGGAGCAAACGGG
rnacentral:rRNA from 1 species